GAUGAACGCUGGCGGCGUGCCUAAUACAUGCAAGUCGAACGAAACUUCUUUAUCACCGAGUGCUUGCACUCACCGAUAAAGAGUUGAGUGGCGAACGGGUGAGUAACACGUGGGCAACCUGCCCAAAAGAGGGGGAUAACACUUGGAAACAGGUGCUAAUACCGCAUAACCAUAGUUAACGCAUGGUAACUAUGUAAAAGGUGGCUAUACUACCGCUUUUGGAUGGGCCCGCGGCGCAUUAGCUAGUUGGUAGGGUAAAGGCUUACCAAGGCAAUGAUGCGUAGCCGAAUUGAGAGGUUGAUCGGCCACAUUGAGACUGAGACACGGCCCAAACUCCUACGGGAGGCAGCAGUAGGGAAUCUUCCACAAUGGGCGAAAGCCUGAUGGAGCAACGCCGCGUGGGUGAAGAAGGUCUUCGGAUCGUAAAACCCUGUUGUUAGAGAAGAAAGUGCGUGAGAGUAACUGUUCACGUUUCGACGGUAUCUAACCAGAAAGCCACUGCUAACUACGUG
rnacentral:rRNA from 1 species